UCAGUUUGGCUAGUGCUAAGUAGGGAUGGGGAUCGAGACCCGAUUCCAAAAUUUCUCAAAACCCGAAAAUCAAUAAGGUCCGAGCUUCUCAAAACUGCUAUCGAGACUAGUGGGUCCUAUAAUGUAACGUUAUGUCUCGCAUCUAAUCUGAUUUAUCUUGAGACGCGAUGAAUGAGAAAAGUAAUGUUAAUGAUGGCACCGAAACAGGGUAUUGAUCAGGCCCAGGACUGUUUAUCAUCAGGCUGCAGCCUCUGCUGCUCUUUGUCGGCUUCUACACACACACACACACACACACACACACACACACACACACACACACACAGCGGCCAGCAGAGCGGGAUGCAGUGCUGUCAUGGUGGAGACAGUGAAGUUAAGUUCACUCCAAACUACUCGAGUUGUUGACACCUACGCUUGUUGGGCCUUUAACGUUACCUGCAGGCAGUGAAUAACAGCAGAGGGGAGGAGGAAUGAUACACUGACAGCCACACAGCUGCAGGAGCUGAUAUGUCACAUGAUGAUGGGGAGCCUGGUGAUGUUCAGGAAGGACUGUGCAUCCUCAGUGAGACACUCUCAGAGGACACCUGUCCUCAUGUCUUCCACCUGUGCUCGCGUCUUCCUCACGCGUCCAUAGUGUAGUCACUAGAGUGGGAGACCUUCGAGCACUACAGCACCUGGCAGCUGUUCUUGGCUCACAGCAUCCCCCUGGAGACCAUCAUCCCCAUCCUGCAGCACCUUAAAUAUAAAGGCUCAGUGAGAGUGAGUGAUGGUGAAGAUGGUCCAGAGUCGUCCCUUUGACCCUGAGGACCAGUUCACCACCAGCAUCCUGAGACCUCUGUCCAAUCACGACAACAUGGUGGGACAACACAUCAAGGCCCAGCUGAUCAAGAACAACAACCAGCCCCGCAAGAGACAGGGGUGAGGACAAAACGAGACAGGUGAAGACUGACGGAUGAGUACAAGGACUCCCAGAGCAAGCCUCCCAAGUCUCGCUGUAAGGCUCCGGCCGCCUCGCCUCUCUUCCGCCCAACAAGGAGGAGAGCGCCUCCAGUAGCGCAUCUGUACAUAGCCCCACCUCCACCUGCUCCUGUGAGGACGACCUGAAUCUGCGUCUCGUUCUUUGAUUGGUCUCUUUCAAAACCACACAGAAAUUUGAUAUUUAAUGUGUCUGAUUUGUGAAACCAGGAAGCAGCUUUGUGUCUUCACCAAAAAAGUGAAGUGGUUUGAAAAGUGAAGCCUCAAACCUGCAUUCUCUCUAACAGCUAGCAAUGGGGCGACUCCGCUGGUCUGAGGAAAAUGUGGCUACUUCUCAGCUGACUUUUUUUUUUUACCUCAGUAAACACUUUCCUAAUGAGUUUAUGGUCGCAGUCGCUAGUCUUCAACACAGCAUGAUGUUUUAGUAAAUUAUGGUCGCAUUUAGAGGAAAAUAGACCAGAAAGCAGGGGAGGCUGUAGGGCGGGGCUACCUUGUGAUUGACAAGUUGCUAUGUGUGACCCAAAUAUGGUACCCCAUGGAUGUUCAGUCUGUGUUCAGGACAGAGCUGAAUACCUCUGUUCUUUCAGCUGGACAGAUAGGCUGGAAUAAAAUACAGCCGCUCUUUCUAUAAAUUGAACUAAAAGAUGUUCUGUUAGCUUCCUGCUCAGCUUCCAGUCUGAAGGGGAGAUAUUUGUUAACCUGCUUCACUUCUCUAGCCAUUUGGGAACAGACUUUUGUUGGUCUGGAGAAGGUGAAGCAAUUACCUGACACACCAAAUACUACUGCCAGAAUAUAUUCCUCCUGAGAGUCACUUUUUGGUACUCGGACAAUCAAACACUCUGAGUCAGGUUCCGCUGGGUCUAAAAUUUCAAAAUCUAAGGCCUUAUAUUAAAUUCUCAAAUUCGCUGCCUUUUGUUUUCUAGGUCUUAAAUAAUUUUAAACAGGUAUUUAUUUACCUACGUCCAUGUAACGCUACCUCUAAUGCUCAACGAAAUGGCCCAGCAGUGCUCAAGGAUUUUUCCUAUUUUUCCUCCCGUGGUGUAGUCCUUUUUGUCGCUAGUCCAAAUUGAGGCUCAAAACAGCUUGGUGCUGCGCAAUGAAUGUAAAAUCAUUGUGGAGAGCAUCAAAACUAACCAAAUGAAUUUUCCCAGAUCUAAUGGUUAUAAUUCAACCCCAGUAGACUUAUUUAGCAAGUUUAACUUUUGGGGUGUAGUUUAUUCUUAAUCUGCUCAAGAUUUUCCUACUUAUUCACAGAUGUGUUAACAAUGUUCCAAAAUUAUGUGGAAUUGCAUAUUUCCUUAUUGGAAAACAUAAUUUUCUUGGGAGGACCCCCAAUCCCCCACACAAAUACCAUCUUAAUUUUUUUUUACAUUAUGCCGCUCUGUGUAAGCAGGUUUUAAUCCCAUGGACAUUAUUUCUAUUUGUAAAUGUACCUGCUUUGCACCUGCCUCGACUUCUCCCUGCACUCACUCACACACACCUUUUACCUCUGGGGUCUCACUGCAAACAUACCGGCUUUCCCUGCUUCUCUGUCUGCUCACCUGAAUUUCUCCAUCAGCAGUAAGUUAUGUUUUAACUCUUUUAUUUUGAGUUUCCAUUAGUAUUUGAAUCUAGCACAAUGUUUUACAUUUACACUUUGAGUAGAUUUCCCUCAGAGUAUAAGUUUGAGGUAAUCAGUUUCCACAAAUAUUUUGAGUAUACUGAAUGUAUUUGGGUUUACAGUGUGUGUGCUCAACAACUAACCUUACUGCAACUUUCUGAAAUCCUGUAGUUGGAACAUGACUUGCGUGAUAGAACAAAAGGAUUGCUGUGUCCAUGUUUGUUCAACAGAAUACGACUUUCAACAUUUUUGGCAUAGCAGUUGUAGAUCCAGUUAUGUUUAUGACAGUGGACAUUUUAAAUUGUGUCAGGAAAAGCACAGAAGCAACCAGUAACAUUGAUGAUUGCUCUGUUCCAUUUAAAGGAUAGGUUUACAAGACAAUCUUAAUAUUUAGCUACAUGCCCAUAUGUACAGGGGAAAAAUUAUUGGUCCUGUAAUAAUUCCUCCUGUCCAUACUGGAAGUGAAAAGAUCCCCACUUAUGUAAGUCCAAUGUAAGUAAUGGACAAAAGCAAAGUCACCCAAUUUUUAUCCCUUUCCUUUUCCUGCAGGCCUUGGAGCAGCGAACAGACCUGGGCUUUGGUCAUGACUGUGUGUUCAGCCUCUGGCUGCCAAGUGGGGACCACCGCUACUGCGUGAUCCUCCUACAGCUCCUCUGCAUGCUGCACUUCAGCUGUGCUAAUAACUUUGGCCCUAUCAGCGGCUAUGCAGUGGGACUGCUGCUGCAUGGGCUGAGCGGGGACCCACUGCCUGGGAUCUCUCCACUCCUGCUCUACCCGUGGCUGGAGGGAGGAGGGCGGAGUUAUCGCACAGUACUCUCCCUACAGGACUCUGGCCAUGCUUUCCUCUGUUACGUGUUAUUGCUUCCUGGCUGGUGGAGUGAGGCUUCUGUCACCAACUAGUUCCUCAAUCCUGGGAUUUACUUGGUGUUUUGAAGAGAGAAAAAAGGCACUUCAUAUAGGCACUCAUUUCAGCCUCCCUCUUCAACAAGCUGUAGAUGCUCCUGUCUCUUUAAGGCCCUCCCCUCCAAAGCCCACUGAUUGGUAGUCUGAUGUGUUUACCAGGUGCAGGGAUGGGGCAGCAUGUUCCUUUGGGGGCGUGGCCAGCAUUCUCUGCCUGGAGCAAAUGACCAUGUAUGGAAAUCCGGCUUGGAAUGACAUACUGAGCCCUUAGUAGAAAAAACUGUUUAAAACAGAGAAUUCAGAACAGGGGGAUAUUGGAGGUUUUGGCUCACAGGGAUUUCUUUUACCUGUUUAUUUGAAGCUUUGGCCAUGUUUAACAUGAACAUCUGACAUUGUAACAUUAUAGAUAUGCCAGAAAAUAUGAAAAAGUACAAUGGGUCCCCCCUGAUUGUUAAUCACAGACCUGAGUGAAAAAUAAAUAUGCUAAGUGUAUUAAAUUUUAGCAUACUUGAGUGUACUUGUAGUCAGACUAAUCAUCAGUAUAUUUCAAGUUUGUUAAUGAUUAGUUAACUUGAAGCAUGCUAUUUUGGAACAACUAAUUUUGUACUAAAUAUAUUUUAAUUGUAAUUAAAUUGUAGAAAAGCUCAAUUUCAAGUGUACUUUUAUGUGCUAAAGUGGAACAACUUCAAGUAUACUUAGUACACUUUAAGUAUA